rnacentral:rRNA from 1 species
CGUACACUCCUACGGGAGACAGCAGUGGGGAAUAUUGGACAAUGGGCGCAAGCCUGAUCCAGCCAUGCCGCGUGAGUGAUGAAGGCCCUAGGGUUGUAAAGCUCUUUCACCGGAGAAGAUAAUGACGGUAUCCGGAGAAGAAGCCCCGGCUAACUUCGUGCCAGCAGCCGCGGUAAUACGAAGGGGGCUAGCGUUGUUCGGAAUUACUGGGCGUAAAGCGCACGUAGGCGGAUCGAUCAGUCAGGGGUGAAAUCCCAGGGCUCAACCCUGGAACUGCCUUUGAUACUGUCGAUCUGGAGUAUGGAAGAGGUGAGUGGAAUUCCGAGUGUAGAGGUGAAAUUCGUAGAUAUUCGGAGGAACACCAGUGGCGAAGGCGGCUCACUGGUCCAUUACUGACGCUGAGGUGCGAAAGCGUGGGGAGCAAACAGGAUUAGAUACCCGGGUAGUCCCAUG